GACGAACGCUGGCGGCGUGCUUAACACAUGCAAGUCGAACGGUAAGGCCCUUCGGGGUACACGAGUGGCGAAAGGGUGAGUAACACGUGGGUGAUCUGCUCUGCACUUCGGGAUAAGCCUGGGAAACUGGGUCUAAUACCGGAUAGGACCACUGCCUGCAUGGAUGGUGGUGGCAAGCUUUUGCGGUGUGGGAUGGGCCCGCGGCCUAUCAGCUUGUGGGUGGGGUGAUGGCGUAACAAGGCGAAGACGGGUAGCCGGCCUGAGAGGGUGACCGGCCAAACUGGGAAUGGGAGACGGCCCAGACUCCUACGGGAGGCAGCAGUGGGGAAUAUUGCACAAUGGGCGCAAGCCUGAUGCAGCGACGCCGCGUGAGGGAUGACGGCCUUCGGGUUGUAAACCUCUUUCAGCACCGACGAAGCGCAAGUGACGGUAGGUGCAGAAGAAGGACCGGCCAACUACGUGCCAGCAGCCGCCGUAA
rnacentral:rRNA from 1 species